UACGGAGGGUGCGAGCGUUAUUCGGAAUGACUGGGCGUAAAGCGCACGCAGGCGGCUUCCCCAGUCAGAUGUGAAAGCCCCGGGCUUAACCCGGGAACGGCAUUUGAAACUGGGCGACUAGAGUAUGAUAGAGGAAGGCGGAAUUUCCAGUGUAGCAGUGAAAUGCGUAGAUAUUGGAAGGAACACCGAUGGCGAAGGCAGCUUUCUGGGUCGAUACUGACGCUGAGGUGCGAAAGCGUGGGGAGCAAACAGG
rnacentral:rRNA from 1 species